rnacentral:rRNA from 1 species
UACGUAGGGGGGCAAGCGUUGUCCGGAUUUAUUGGGCGUAAAGAGCGUGUAGGCGGCUUUACAGGUCCGUUGUGAAAACUCGAGGCUCAACCUCGAGACGCCGGUGGAAACCGUAAAGCUAGAGUCCGGAAGAGGAGAGUGGAAUUCCUGGUGUAGCGGUGAAAUGCGCAGAUAUCAGGAGGAACACCCGUGGCGAAAGCGGCUCUCUGGGACGGUACUGACGGCUGAGACGGCGAAAGCGUGGGGGAGCAAAACAGG